UGCUGUUUCCAUUUGCGUCUGGCUUAAUGGAAUUCUCCACCAGUGACUCAGGAGAUUAGAGGAGGUUUGACUAUUAUUUUUUCGUUUGGGUUAUUGGUAAGCCAAAACCAGGUAGAGCGACAUCAACUAUCCAAGCAUCGAGUGUUCGGAAAUCAUAUCAGACCAUCAAUUCGCAUCAUCAAUUAUUCGACAGUGUCAAGAGUGCGGAUUUGGGCAAAUCUGGGUGUCUUUAUCAGUUUAUGUUUGCGGAUCUUGGAGCCCAACACUGCAAUAGCGGCUGCAAUAUUUGAAUUAAAAGGAAAAGUUUGAGUAUCGUAGCGGAAAACAUUGUUAACUUUUAGGGAUUCAGAUUUGUGUUGUUGCUUGUUAUAGCAUUGCUGAAUUGGAUGGAAGAAAGAAUGCAUCCCUUUAAUCAGGAAAUUCUUUUGAGCUCCAGAAAGUUGGACGGUUUGCCUCGUGGCAUAAUACAAGCUAGGUCGGAUUUAGAACUGAGGCCUUUAUGGCUGACUAGUUCAAAGUUAACGGUAAUACUCUAAUUGUCUU